GAGGGCAGUAAUGUAAAUUAAAGGAAAACCAAACGCAAAAACCUUGCGAAAAUUUGAGUCCACCGACAGCCACCGGAAUAUAGAACCGACAAUUACCGGUAACUCAUAGGUACAGACUGUAAACAGCGGAAAAAGUAUUCAACUGUUGUCCCUAUCUAGACAAAAAAUGAUAAAUUGGAUAUUUUAUGAUCUCGUAGUUACACGCCAUUGAGCUCGCAUAAGAGUACGGCGCGUUUGUUGCAUGACUUCAGCUCUUAGUUAGCUCGAACUGCUGAGUGCUGAGAUCCUUC
rnacentral:misc_RNA from 1 species